rnacentral:rRNA from 1 species
UACGAAGGGGGCUAGCGUUGCUCGGAAUGACUGGGCGUAAAGGGCGCGUAGGCGGUCUGUCGCGUCGGCUGUGAAAACCUGGGGCUCAACUCCGGGCCUGCAGCCGAUACGGGCAGACUAGAAUUCGGUAGGGGAGACUGGAAUUCCUGGUGUAGCGGUGAAAUGCGCAGAUAUCAGGAGGAACACCGGUGGCGAAGGCGGGUCUCUGGGCCGAUAUUGACGCUGAGGAGCGAAAGCGUGGGGAGCGAACAGG